GACGUAGGGCGCGAGCGUUGUCCGGAUUUAUUGGGCGUAAAGAGCUCGUAGGCGGUCUGUCGCGUCUGCUGUGAAAACUCAGGGCUUAACCCUGAGCUUGCAGUGGGUACGGGCAGACUAGAGUGCGGUAGGGGAGACUGGAAUUCCCGGUGUAGCGGUGAAAUGCGCAGAUAUCGGGAGGAACACCUAUGGCGAAGGCAGCUCGCUGGGACGUUACUGACGCUGAGACGCGAAAGCGUGGGGAGCAAACAGG
rnacentral:rRNA from 1 species